rnacentral:tRNA from 1 species
GAGGGUAUAGCUCAGUGGUAGAGCACAUGCUUAGUAUGCACGAGGUCCUGGGUUCAAUACCCACUAUCUCCA